GAAAUGAGCAGUGUAUAAUGUGAUUGAAAACUGAAUCCAGCCAGCAAAGGAGGCAAUAUGGACAAUCACAAUACAUUAGUAAGUGGAUUGUAUUAACUUUGUCUACAUCAGGGGUCAGCAGCCUUCAGCACUCCAACUGCUGUAAAACUACAACUCCCAGCAUGCACACUUGCUCGGCUAGUCUUGUAGCUCCCAUAAAAGUAAAUAGGGGAUUUGGGGAAUUGUAGUUUCAGAACAGCCGGGAGGUUGCUGAUCCCUGCUCCACAUAAUAAAGGCCACUUGCUGCAGUGACACAAGCCUCAUGGUUGGAGGACACGGAGACAUACAAACUGACCUGCCAUGUGGUGGAUUUUUACUGCAGAUUUUACCCUUUGCAACGAAUAAAGCUAAAUCCAUGGCAAAGCUGCCGGUACAGUAACUCC